GCGGGCGUGGCGAAACUGGUAGACGCAACGGACUUAAAAUCCGUAGGGCCGCAAGGCCUGUACCGGUUCGAUUCCGGUCGCCCGCACCA
rnacentral:tRNA from 2 species